UACGUACCGUCCAAACGUUAUUCGGAAUCACUGGGCUUAAAGAGUUCGUAGGCGGCCCAGAAAGUUGGGUGUGAAAUCCCCCGGCUCAACCGGGGAACAGCGCUCAAAACUACUGGGCUUGAGGGAGAUAGAGGUGAGCGGAACUGAUGGUGGAGCGGUGAAAUGCGUUGAUAUCAUCAGGAACACCGGAGGCGAAGGCGGCUCACUGGGUCUUACCUGACGCUGAGGAACGAAAGCUAGGGGAGCGAACGGG
rnacentral:rRNA from 1 species